GCACUGGUGGUGUAUGGAACACACGCCGACCUGAUAAUCAAGUAAAUAAGAAGUCAGUUUCCGGCGAGAGGGGUUCGAUUCCCCCCUGGUGCA